AAAACAAAAACAAAAUAAACAAAGGUAGAAACUUUGAACAGGAGCUUAAAGUUUCCAAAGCGAGAUUCCUCGAAAUCUAAAACAGGAAACUAAAAUUCUACAAGGGGAGUACGAAAAUUCGCUAGAGCUUGCUCCAAUACAACAGAAAUCUUUGAGUGUGAUGAUGAUGAGUGAAAGAGAGCGAAUAAAGCAACGAGAAGAAGAAGAGGAGCUGGAGACUUGAGUGAAUUAUCAAAUGGAGAAACUUAAGAAAGAGGAGCAGAAGUAGUAGUAGAAGAAGAAGAAGAAGAAGAAUCUAUCAUCGGAAAAGAUGAGAAGAAUAUGGUGGAAGACAAAUGUCUGCUUCCUUCUCUCUCUCUCUCUCUCUAUUAUCUGAUUAUCUUUCUUUUCUUUUUUCAUUCAUACUUCCAUUAAUAUAUAUUUUAAUCUUAAGCUGCUUAUGUACUCCUAAAAAAAAUACAGAUAAAAUUCAAACACAAAAAAUUAUAUCCUGCUG
rnacentral:sRNA from 1 species